UUAAAAACCUUCGAAGUCACGAGCUUCAACUGCUCACUCCUGCGAUGACUUGAUGCGUUUCCCCAGCGAAGUAGUGCUUCAGCAGUGGAGGCGGAGAUAAUGGGAGCCGCAGUGUAGAGAAUCUGAACGCUCGAAGGAUACUCGCUUGGGCGAACAUAGCAAACGGCGAAGAUCGUCGAAGUCCUAGCUGGAGUGGUAGUUACUAGGCUUCGGUUUUAAUUUUUUCAGAUUACAAAGGUUACUUAAAGGUUAUCAGACUGGGCUUCGAUUUGGUCUCCAGGCUUCUACAUUUUGGUCUGGUCGUCACCACCAACCUUGGAAACGUUUUUCUAUUUGUCUUCUUACUUCCUAUGAUUGAAGCAAAUACGAAGAAAUUUGUUUACAAUGAAUUGAAGUAUUCUGCUUCCUCACAUGCGAGCCAUAGAUAAAAGAGGAGUUUCAUGAAGGUCUAUACGUGAGAAUUUUUGAGGUCAAGCCCAAUCUUCAUGUGCAAGUACGAAGAAAUUUGUUUCCAACGAAUUGAAGCAUUAUGCUUCCUCACAUACAGCACAUAAACAAAAGAGGAGCAGAGGAAGAGGCAGCAGAUAAUCUGAACACACAGUUGUGUAAGAGAAGAAACAUGAGCACUCUUUCACUGGAACACCGUGGUCUCCUUCAAGCCAUCGCUACUAUCCUCACCUCCAGUCAGGUCCAAUUCCACCAUCUCAAACCCUACA